CCUACGGGAGGCAGCAGUUGGGAAUAUUGGGCAAUGGGGGCAACCCUGACCCAGCAACGCCGCGUGAAGGAAGAAGGUCUUCGGAUUGUAAACUUCUUUUAUGAGGGACGAAGGACGCGACGGUACCUCAUGAAUAAGCCACGGCUAACUACGUGCCAGCAGCCGCGGUAAU
rnacentral:rRNA from 1 species